rnacentral:rRNA from 1 species
UCGAGAAUCUUCCACAAUGGACGAAAGUCUGAUGGAGCGACGCCGCGUGAUCGAUGAAGUGCUUCGGUAUGUAAAGAUCUUUUAUGAGGGAAGAAGUUUAUUGACGGUACCUCAUGAAUAAGGGCCUGCAAAACUCGUGCCAGCAGCAGCGGUAAUACGAGUGGCCCAAGCGUUAUCCGGAAUUAUUGGGCGUAAAGGAUGUGUAGGUGGUUAUAUUAGUCGAAUGUCUAACCUCUGUGCUCAACAUGGA